AUGAACGCUGGCGGCGUGCCUAAUACAUGCAAGUCGAGCGAACAGACGAGGAGCUUGCUCCUCUGACGUUAGCGGCGGACGGGUGAGUAACACGUGGAUAACCUACCUAUAAGACUGGGAUAACUUCGGGAAACCGGAGCUAAUACCGGAUAAUAUAUUGAACCGCAUGGUUCAAUAGUGAAAGACGGUUUUGCUGUCACUUAUAGAUGGAUCCGCGCCGCAUUAGCUAGUUGGUAAGGUAACGGCUUACCAAGGCGACGAUGCGUAGCCGACCUGAGAGGGUGAUCGGCUACACUGGAACUGAGACACGGUCCAGACUCCUACGGGAGGCAGCAGUAGGGAAUCUUCCGCGAUGGGCGAAAGGCUGACGGAGCAACGCCGCGUGAGUGAUGAAGGUCUUCGGAUCGUAAAACUCUGUUAUUAGGGAAGAACAAAUGUGUAAGUAACUAUGCACGUCUUGACGGUACCUAAUCAGAAAGCCACGGCUAACUACG
rnacentral:rRNA from 1 species